UACGGAGGGUGCAAGCGGUGCUCGGAAUUACUGGGCGUAAAGGGCGUGUAGGCGGGUUCGUAUGUCUGGCGUGAAAGCCCCGGGCUCACCUCGGGAAGUGCGUCGGAAACGGCGAGACUAAAGGCCCGGAGAGGGAGGUGGAAUUCCAGGUGUAGCGGUGAAAUGGGUAGAUACCUGGAAGAACUCCGGUGGCGAAGGCGGCCUCCUGGACGGUGCCUGACGCUGAGACGCGAAAGCGUGGGGAGCAACCAGG
rnacentral:rRNA from 1 species